rnacentral:rRNA from 1 species
UGCUGGAGGUAUCAGAAGUGCGAAUGCUGACAUAAGUAACGAUAAAGCGGGUGAAAAGCCCGCUCGCCGGAAGACCAAGGGUUCCUGUCCAACGUUAAUCGGGGCAGGGUGAGUCGACCCCUAAGGCGAGGCCGAAAGGCGUAGUCGAUGGGAAACAGGUUAAUAUUCCUGUACUUGGUGUUACUGCGAAGGGGGGACGGAGAAGGCUAUGUUAGCCGGGCGACGGUUGUCCCGGUUUAAGCAUGUAGGCGGAGGUUCCAGGUAAAUCCGGUACCUUUUAACGCUGAGGUGUGAUGACGAGGCACUACGGUGCUGAAGUAACAAAUGCCCUGCUUCCAGGAAAAGCCUCUAAGCAUCAGGUAACAUUAAAUCGUACCCCAAACCGACACAGGUGGUCAGGUAGAGAAUACCAAGGCGCUUGAGAGAACUCGGGUGAAGGAACUAGGCAAAAUGGUGCCGUAACUUCGGGAGAAGGCACGCUGGUGUGUAGGUGAAGUCCCUGCGGACGGAGCUGAGACCAGUCGAAGAUACCAGCUGGCUGCAACUGUUUAUUAAAAACACAGCACUGUGCAAACACGAAAGUGGACGUAUACGGUGUGACGCCUGCCCGGUGCCGGAAGGUUAAUUGAUGGGGUUAUCCGUAAGGAGAAGCUCUUGAUCGAAGCCCCGGUAAACGGCGGCCGUAACUAUAACGGUCCUAAGGUAGCGAAAUUCCUUGUCGGGUAAGUUCCGACCUGCACGAAUGGCGUAAUGAUGGCCAGGCUGUCUCCACCCGAGACUCAGUGAAAUUGAACUCGCUGUGAAGAUGCAGUGUACCCGCGGCAAGACGGAAAGACCCCGUGAACCUUUACUAUAGCUUGACACUGAACAUUGAGCCUUGAUGUGUAGGAUAGGUGGGAGGCUUUGAAGCGUGGACGCCAGUCUGCGUGGAGCCAACCUUGAAAUACCACCCUUUAAUGUUUGAUGUUCUAACGUAGGCCCCUUAUCGGGGUUGCGGACAGUGUCUGGUGGGUAGUUUGACUGGGGCGGUCUCCUCCCAAAGAGUAACGGAGGAGCACGAAGGUUAGCUAAUCCUGGUCGGACAUCAGGAGGUUAGUGCAAUGGCAUAAGCUAGCUUGACUGCGAGCGUGACGGCGCGAGCAGGUGCGAAAGCAGGUCAUAGUGAUCCGGUGGUUCUGAAUGGAAGGGCCAUCGCUCAACGGAUAAAAGGUACUCCGGGGAUAACAGGCUGAUACCGCCCAAGAGUUCAUAUCGACGGCGGUGUUUGGCACCUCGAUGUCGGCUCAUCACAUCCUGGGGCUGAAGUAGGUCCCAAGGGUAUGGCUGUUCGCCAUUUAAAGUGGUACGCGAGCUGGGUUUAGAACGUCGUGAGACAGUUCGGUCCCUAUCUGCCGUGGGCGCUGGAGAAUUGAGGGGGGCUGCUCCUAGUACGAGAGGACCGGAGUGGACGCAUCACUGGUGUUCGGGUUGUCAUGCCAAUGGCACUGCCCGGUAGCUAAAUGCGGAAGAGAUAAGUGCUGAAAGCAUCUAAGCACGAAACUUGCCCCGAGAUGAGUUCUCCCUGAGACUUUAAGUCUCCUGAAGGAACGUUGAAGACGACGACGUUGAUAGGCCGGGUGUGUAAGCGCAGCGAUGCGUUGAGCUAACCGGUACUAAUGAACCGUGAGGCUUAACCUUACAACGCCGAAGCUGUU